ACGGCUCAGUAACACGUGGACAACUUACCCAAGAGUCCGGGAUAACCCCGGGAAACUGGGGAUAAUACCGGAUAGAUCAUCUGUGCUGGAAGGCUGGGUGGUUGAAACUUCCGGGGCUUUUGGAUGGGUCUGCGGCUGAUUAGGUUGUUGCCGGUGUAACGUACCGUCAAGCCUGUAAUCAGUACGGGUUGUGGGAGCAAGAGCCCGGAGAUGGAUUCUGAGACACGAAUCCAGGCCCUACGGGGCGCAGCAGGCGCGAAAACUCUACAAUGCAGGCAACUGCGAUAGGGGAACAUCGAGUGAUCCUCAUAUUGGGGGUCUGUCCACCCGUCUAAAAAACGGGUGUUAGCAAGGGCCGGGCAAGACCGGUGCCAGCCGCCGCGGUAAUACCGGCGGCUCGAGUGGUGGCCGAUAUUAUUGAGUCUAAAGGGUCCGUAGCCGGCUUUGCAAGUCUCUCGGGAAAUCCAGCGGCUUAACCGUUGGUCGUCCGGGGGGUACUACAUUGCUUGGGACUGGGAGAGGUAGGAGGUACUCAGGGGGUAGGAGUGAAGUCCGUUGAUCCAUUGAAGACCACCAGUGGCGAAGGCGGCUUGCCAGAACGCGCUCGACGGUGAGGGAUGAAAGCUGGGGGAGCAAACCGGAUUAGAUACCCGGGUAGUCCCAGCUGUAAACGAUGCAGACUCGGUGAUGAACAGGCUUCGUGCCUGUUCAGUGCCGCAGGGAAGCCGUUAAGUCUGCCGCCUGGGGAGUACGGUCGCAAGACUGAAACUUAAAGGAAUUGGCGGGGGAG
rnacentral:rRNA from 1 species